rnacentral:rRNA from 1 species
AGUGAACGCUGGCGGUAGGCCUAACACAUGCAAGUCGAACGGCAGCACAGUAAGAGCUUGCUCUUACGGUUGGCGAGUGGCGGACGAGUGAGGAAUACAUCGGAAUCUACUUUUUCGUGGGGGAUAACGUAGGGAAACUUACGCUAAUACCGCAUACGACCUACGGGUGAAAGCAGGGGAUCUUCGGACCUUGCGCGAUUGAAUGAGCCGAUGUCGGAUUAGCUAGUUGGCGGGGUAAAGGCCCACCAAGGCGACGAUCCGUAGCUGGUCUGAGAGGAUGAUCAGCCACACUGGAACUGAGACACGGUCCAGACUCCUACGGGAGGCAGCAGUGGGGAAUAUUGGACAAUGGGCGCAAGCCUGAUCCAGCCAUACCGCGUGGGUGAAGAAGGCCUUCGGGUUGUAAAGCCCUUUUGUUGGGAAAGAAAAGCAGCAGGUUAAUACCCCGCUGUUCUGACGGUACCCAAAGAAUAAGCACCGGCUAACUUCGUG